AGUCGUAACAAGGUCUCCGUAGGUGAACCUGCGGAGGGAUCAUUAACAGUUAUCUAAACACCAUUUUCAGUGCACUAAAAACGCUUCUGAAGCCUGCACUUAACACAUUACGUUAUUUGCGGAUUUCAGAGGCUCUCCUUAACGGGGAACUUUUCCCGUUCUGGGGGGGGCUUGGGCGAUGCUCAAUCCUCACGCUGAUUUUGUCUGAAAUUUACUUUUAAAUCCUGAUACCAUUGGUGGUGGAUGACUCGGCUCCA
rnacentral:misc_RNA from 1 species